rnacentral:lncRNA from 1 species
UAUGGCAGCUGAAUUCUCUUUCAUGUAUGUCCAGUCCAGGUGAAGCCCAGCAUAAUGUACUAUAAUAUGUCUCUUCAGUUCUCUGAUACAGUGACCUGUGCAUCCUCUAAAUCCCCCACAGAAUGCACAGACACAAACUGAUUGAGGUGAGAAUGGACUUAAGUAUAUAUUGUUCUUUGUAGCUUUGAAGAACUGGUGCUUUUGCCAAAUGCAAGAUGAUGUGGAUUGUAAUCUAUUGAGAUACAAGUUCAGACUGGGUCCUCUUAUACAUUGUAAGAAUAACUAAAGAUUUGUCUGGAGUAAGGGAUUUUUUGUCUUUCUUCCUCAAAAAAAUAAAAAUAAAAUAAAACUUUCUCACUGUUUCUGACAUUUUGCAGUUCCUCUAGUGACAGCAAUCACGAAAGCACUGUAGUGAUAGGAGCCUCUUGCAGCAGCUGGAGCAGCUGGGAGCACGUGGCACCAGAAAUGCCAGUCAUUUGCUCAGGGGUGUUGUUGCAGCUAUGAAAAGAAAUUGAUACAUGCUACACAAAUGAGAACCUUGGAUUUUAACCUCCCUCCUGGAGAUCUGGAAGCCAUCAGGGGCUGGUGGUGCCCAGGACCUGUGUGGAACCACAUCCUACCCAGUGCUGAGGACAGUUGGUAGAGCUGGAAGUUUUCUCAUGUAAGUAAACACCAGCAGCCAGUCUCUUAAAAGACCUUUCAAAUAUGGCAAAGGAAAACUCUAAUUUUCAGUGUA